UACGGAGGAUGCAAGCGUUAUCCGGAAUCAUUGGGCGUAAAGCGUCCGCAGGUGGCAGUUCAAGUCUGCUGUCAAAGACUGGGGCUUAACCCUAGAAAGGCAGUGGAAACUGAACAGCUAGAGUGUGGUAGGGGUAGAGGGAAUUCCCGGUGUAGCGGUGAAAUGCGUAGAGAUCGGGAAGAACAUCGGUGGCGAAGGCGCUCUACUGGACCACAACUGACACUCAGGGACGAAAGCUAGGGGAGCGAAUGGG
rnacentral:rRNA from 1 species